rnacentral:rRNA from 1 species
GACGAACGCUGGCGGCGUGCCUAAUACAUGCAAGUUGAGCGCUGAAGGUUGGUACUUGUACCAACUGGAUGAGCAGCGAACGGGUGAGUAACGCGUGGGGAAUCUGCCUUUGAGCGGGGGACAACAUUUGGAAACGAAUGCUAAUACCGCAUAAAAACUUUAAACACAAGUUUUAAGUUUGAAAGAUGCAAUUGCAUCACUCAAAGAUGAUCCCGCGUUGUAUUAGCUAGUUGGUGAGGUAAAGGCUCACCAAGGCGAUGAUACAUAGCCGACCUGAGAGGGUGGUCGGCCACAUUGGGACUGAGACACGGCCCCAACUCCUUCGGGAGGCAGCAGUAGGGGAUCUUCGGCAAUGGACGAAAGUCUGACCGAGCAACGCCGCGUGAGUGAAGAAGGUUUUCGGAUCGUAAAACUCUGUUGGUAGAGAAGAACGGUGGUGAGAGUGGAAAGCUCAUCAAGUGACGGUAACUACCCAGAAAGGGACGGCUAACUACGUG